UACGGGGGGGGCAAGCGUUGUUCGGAAUCAUUGGGCGUAAAGGGUGCGUAGGCGGCUAUUUAAGUCAGUGGUGAAAUCCUGCAGCUUAACUGUAGAAUUGCCAUUGAUACUGGAUAGCUUGAGUACAGACGAGGUAGGCGGAAUUUAUGGUGUAGCGGUAAAAUGCAUAGAUACCAUAAAGAACCCCUAUUGCGAAGGCAGCUUACUAGGCUGUAACUGACGCUGAGGCACGAAAGCGUGGGGAUCAAACAGG
rnacentral:rRNA from 1 species